ACAGACGCGGGCAAGAACAGAAGAGAGCAGCAAGUUAGAAAGUGCCACCAAAACAACAAAAACAGCCUGAAAGGGCUGAGUAGAGUGUAUCAGGGUGCGUAGGAGAAAGCGGGAUGAGCUGCGGUCCUGCCUCCACUCCCCCCAUGCAGAUACACACCACAAACCUGCAGCGCCAUCUAGUGACCGCCGCUGCAUAAGCUGGUUUGACCCCUACUGCCUUGAACAUACAGUACAGAGGAACAUCGCACCGUCCCUUACAGACGCUCGAGAGGAAUCCUAGAUUUGGCAGUUUCAGAUCGACAGCUGAUCAUUUCUGUUUCGGGAAGGACAAAGACGUCCCGUCUGCGAAGAGCGUGGGAUGCAACUUGAUGCAAUGGUUUCAUUCAUCUGGGAAAGUGACACUACACUUUGUGGUUCUCAACAUGCUGGAAUUUGAAGAGCGCUGCCCGUACAGAAGUGCUUCUGUCUGAGAGCUGCUAGAACUUCUAGUGAUCCCCCUGUCUUUUCUUUGAUGGAUGCUUUGAAUGCCACUUGUAAAAUGUGGUUGUGGGGGGGAUGUACAUGUGCGCGCGCGUGUGUGUGUGUGUUCGUAGCCUCGGACCGCUGGAGUGUGUUUUGCCGUGCGCCAUGUUGAAAAAUAAACAAAUCAGAAACAAUUAGGACUGAACUCUCAUACAAUAUUCAUAACUCAGCUACCCCUUGCA